rnacentral:rRNA from 1 species
CCUACGGGAGGCAGCAGUGGGGAAUAUUGGGCAAUGGGCGCAAGCCUGACCCAGCAACGCCGCUUGCAGUCCUCCUUCUUUCUUUUUUUCCCCUUCUUUUCCUCUUUCCUCUCCUCCUACUUUACCUCUUUAAUAAGCCACUGCUAACUACUUUCCCGCAGCCGCGGUCCUACGUAUGGUUCAAGCGGUGUCCGUCUUUACUUGGGGUACAGUGCGUGCAGCCGGGAAGACAAGUCAGAUGUGAAAUCCCGCGGACCAACCGCGGAACGGAAGGGGAAACUGUUUUUCUUGAGUACCGGAGAGGUAAUCGGAAUUCGUUGGGGAGAGGUGAAAUGCGUAGAGAUAAGGAAGAAAACAAGUGGCGAAGGCGGAUGACUGGAAGGCAAAUGAAGGUGAGGCGCGAAAGAGUGGGGAGAAAAAAGGAGGAGAGAAAAAGGGAGGC